UCUACCCCAACCCAAUGGCCUACACCAACACCGCUGUACCAGCCUAACCCGAUUCGUCCGCCCGCGCACGUUAGCCGUUUUCUCUCUCCUCCUCUUUGUCCGCUGCAAUUAGUGAUGGGUUUUUGAAUCUGAUUGACGAGAGGGAUCCGCGGGGUGGAGGUGUGAAACCCUGGCCUACAAUUCUUGAGCCGGGGGGGAAUCGCUGGUGGGAGAUUGGAGAUGUAGUGGGAGGGAGGGAGAAUCUACUGAAGGAGUAAAGAUUGGAAGGACGAUGUCGUGGUUGUCGAGCCAGGAGAGGCACUCGAAACCGUAUCUACAGCUCUACUCGUCCUUCGGUUGGCGCUUUCUCAUCUGCCAUGCCGAUUUCCUCACUUUAAACUGUAAACUGCAUAAAGUGCAUGGAUGUUGAUCUGACUUUGGUACCAUAUUGUAUUUGGACCAGUACAGAUCUACUACUGACAGCAAAGUGUCCUUUGAUAACAUUGCUCCUUAUGAGCUUUUCCAUUUUGGUUCUGGCGCUGGCUUAGAGAAUUAGUCACCGCAAUCGGUCAGCAUUUUCAUAGAUAGAGAUUUGGCAGCCCUAACUUCUCCAAUUUGAACUGCACAUCUAGUAAGUGAAUAAAAUUUUCUCUUUUGAAUCUAUAUGCUUUUGAAUCUUAUACAAGUUCUCCAUCUUUGGUCAAUUUGUCUUAAAGCAGCCAACUUCAACUUGCAUAACUAUGACCAGAAAACAGCCAACAAAACAGAAAAGCUAGUGUUUUUUACAACAGGCUUUCUAUCUGUGGUCUCCAUCCCCUGUGUAAUAGACCGCGUUCAUGUUCAUAUACAAUGUAGUAACUAUUAUGCAGAUCAAUUUGAGGAAAACACAACAAGAAAUAGUAUCAUGCAGUCUUUUAUGCUGUUAUUUCGUGCCAACCUACGAUGAUAUAGCCAUCUGACAUAAGGACACAGUUACAUAACGAUAUGAUCGCCUGCAUAGGACGCAGUUACAUAUGAUCGCGUGCAUAGAACUUGUAGUGAAUAGUUUUUUUUUUCUUAUUUUACUGCUACUAUGUAGUAAUUUUCAUGCCCAUAUUUUUUUGGGCAAAGAUUAUGAGGUUUUCAAUCUCACCAUCAUCAAUGUAGCCAUUCCGAUUUGUGUCAGCUUGUCGGAGUCCACGACCACUCUUCCAGGUUGUAAACCAUCCUCCUCUGCUGCGGAUGGCCUCCCGAAGCUCAGCUUUGCUGAUGCGUCCAUCCUUGUUGGCGUCGAAACUCUUCAGCCAUAUUUUGAAGUCCUCCAUGGAUAUUUCUUCAUUCGGAGGCGGUACGAGAGGCAUGAUAAAUUUCUAAUGUCUGCAAACUUGAGUGGAAUGCAAUGCUUGCAACUCCGAUCAUUUAUAUAGACCUCAGCAAGGUCUUUACAACGUGAGCAACAUGGACUACUUGAUGGGCACCUUUAUUCCAUAUUAUCUAGGAGUGUUUCUUGAGAUUCUCUUCAGAAUGUUUCUGGUUUCAGUCAGAUGUCCUUUGGUUGCUAUUGAAGAUUAACUUUGACAAAAGUGCCUCUGUAACAUGAUGACUCGAUUUUUUCCCCCCCUUUAUUCUGUGCAGUUCAAAUAAUUGAAGGAAUCUUUUGUAUGCCUUCCUUAUUGGAUAUUUUUUUGGUGCCUUGAUACCAAAUAAAGAUAAUGUGAUGUAUGUA